rnacentral:rRNA from 1 species
UACAGAGGGUGCAAGCGUUAAUCGGAAUUACUGGGCGUAAAGCGUGCGUAGACGGUUACAUAAGUCGGGUGUGAAAGCCCCGGGCUCAACCUGGGAAUUGCAUUCGAGACUGCGUGGCUAGGGUGCGGAAGAGGGAAGCGGAAUUUCCGGUGUAGCGGUGAAAUGCGUAGAUAUCGGAAGGAACACCAGUGGCGAAGGCGAGUCUCUGGACGACACCUGACACUGAGGCACGAAAGCUAGGGGAGCAAACAGG